rnacentral:rRNA from 1 species
GAUGAACGCUGGCGGCGUGCCUAAUACAUGCAAGUCGAGCGAACGGACGAGAAGCUUGCUUCUCUGAUGUUAGCGGCGGACGGGUGAGUAACACGUGGAUAACCUACCUAUAAGACUGGGAUAACUUCGGGAAACCGGAGCUAAUACCGGAUAAUAUUUUGAACCGCAUGGUUCAAAAGUGAAAGACGGUCUUGCUGUCACUUAUAGAUGGAUCCGCGCUGCAUUAGCUAGUUGGUAAGGUAACGGCUUACCAAGGCAACGAUGCAUAGCCGACCUGAGAGUGUGAUCGGCCACACUGGAACUGAGACACGGUCCAGACUCCUACGGGAGGCAGCAGUAGGGAAUCUUCCGCAAUGGGCGAAAGCCUGACGGAGCAACGCCGCGUGAGUGAUGAAGGUCUUCGGAUCGUAAAACUCUGUUAUUAGGGAAGAACAUAUGUGUAAGUAACUGUGCACAUCUUGACGGUACCUAAUCAGAAAGCCACGGCUAACUACGUG